UCCGCCAUAUAAAAAGCGGUAACAGAGUCCAUUUGAUUUGUCCGAUUGGGUUAUUUUAUUCAAAUACGGAAUGGUGUGGCGGAGAAAAAAGUUUAGAACAAGUGAAUUUCAUUAGUUAUGCAGUUGAUUGAAACUAACAUAACAAGAUGGCAGCAAAAUCCAAUCAACUAAUUUUAAUUGUCCUAAUUAAAAACUUUUUGACGACUGCAUACUAGAUAUAUUGGUUACUUAUACUCGUAUGUAUAUAGUAUGUAUACAUAUAUACAUUAGCAGAAUAUAUUCAAAAUUGAAAACUACUUCAAUUGAAGCUCUUGGUAGGUAUGGUCUAAGUAUGUGCGAAAGCUAAUUAGGCGCAAAACUAAAUAAUUGGUAUACAUAUUUACACAUUGGAUGCUUGCAAAAAAAUAAUUAGGUAAAAAUUGUAUUUGCCUGUCUUAACUGUUAAUUGGAUUCACUACGAAUUCAGGCAACAGUAAAGAACACUUCCUCAAAGCAUGGGUUUAUUGAAGGUUGUACUAGGAAUGGCUUGUAUCAAUCUAAUAUUGAUCUAUAAUUGAAGCAACAAGAGCAAACAAUUGCUUGGAAAACAAAUUUUGUCAAAAUAAAACUCAUAUCUACAUACAUAUAUGACUAUGUAUAAUAAUAGCGUGUCAAUUUCAGAACAAUGAAAUCAGGAAUUUUUGCAUUUGGUUAAUAUUUGCGUAUACAAUUAUGUAUACAUCGGAAACUUUCUAAUAAAUAAUUUUCGCUUUAAUGAGGAUUGUUAUCAUAAAUGUUAUAAUUGGCGAUUGUUGAAAGAGCUUAAUUAGAGUGAAAUGCAAAGUGAGCAUGAAGAUAGGAAAUGAUACUUAAAUGAAUGAUGAGAAAAUGUAUAAAAAAAAAUAA